rnacentral:rRNA from 1 species
UACGUAGGGGGCAAGCGUUGUCCGGAAUCAUUGGGCGUAAAGCGCGUGUAGGCGGCUCGGUAAGUCUGCUGUGAAAGUCCAGGGCUCAACCCUGGAAAGCCGGUGGAUACUGUCGGGCUAGAGUCCGGAAGAGGCGAGUGGAAUUCCUGGUGUAGCGGUGGAAUGCGCAGAUAUCAGGAGGAACACCGAUAGCGAAGGCAGCUCGCUGGGACGGUACUGACGCUGAGGUGCGAAAGCGUGGGGAGCGAACAGG